AAUAACUCUAUCGAUGCUAUGGCGGGAACUCUUAGCUAUGUUUCUUAGGAGAGUGGCCUGAGGGGUUCUUCUCCAGUUAGCAUGUUUAAUACACUCAUACUUCUCACUAAGUUGACCUUACUGCACAACAUACCUAUAACCGGCAAAAGGAGGGCUUGCUGCCCCUCUAAGGGUAGUUCACCCACCUACAGAAAUUUAAUAUGUAUCUAAGAC